UAGGGAAUCUUGCGCAAUGGGCGAAAGCCUGACGCAGCGACGCCGCGUGAGCGAUGAAGGCCUUCGGGUUGUAAAGCUCUGUGGGGAGAGAAGAAUAAGGUUGAGCUAAUACCUCAGUCGAUGACGGUAUCUCCUUAGCAAGCACCGGCUAACUCUGUGCCAGCAGCCGCGGUAAGACAGAGGGUGCAAACGUUGUUCGGAAUUACUGGGCGUAAAGCGCGUGUAGGCGGCUAAGCAAGUCGGGCGUGAAAUCCCAUGGCUCAACCAUGGAAGUGCACCCGAAACUGCAUAGCUAGAGUCCUGGAGAGGAAGGUGGAAUGCUUGGUGUAGAGGUGAAAUUCGUAGAUAUCAAGCGGAACACCGGUGGCGAAGGCGGCCUUCUGGACAGUGACUGACGCUGAGACGCGAAAGCGUGGGGAGCAAACAGGAUUAGAUACCCUGGUAGUCCACGCCGUAAACGAUGAGUGCUAGGUGUCACGGGCUUUGACCCUC
rnacentral:rRNA from 1 species